rnacentral:rRNA from 1 species
GGAACUGAAACAUCUAAGUACCUGAAGGAAGAGAAAGAAAUUCGAUUCCGUAAGUAGCGGCGAGCGAACGCGGAUUAGCCCAAACCAAUAAAGUUUUCUUUAUUGGGGUUGCGGACAUAUCAUAACGAAGAGGUAUCGUAAUUGAAGAGGUUUGGAAAGACCCACCACAGAAGGUAAUAGUCCUGUAUGUUAAACGAGAAGACUUUAGAUAUGAUCCAGAGUACCACGGGACACGUGAAACCCUGUGGGAAGCAGGAGGGACCACCCUCCAAGGCUAAAUACUACCUAGUGACCGAUAGCGUAUAGUACCGUGAGGGAAAGGUGAAAAGAACCCCGGGAGGGGAGUGAAAUAGAACCUGAAACCCUGCACUUACAAGCUGUGGAAGCACAUUUCUUGUGUGACCGCGUACUUUUUGUAGAACGGGCCAACGAGUUACGUUAAGUAGCAAGGUUAAGCACUUAAGGUGCGGAGCCGUAGCGAAAGCGAGUUUUAACUGAGCGUUCAGUUACUUGACGUAGACCCGAAACCGGGCGACCUACCCAUGAGCAGGAUGAAGCGAAAGUAAAAUUUCGUGGAGGUCCGAACCCACGAGCGUUGAAAAGCUCGGGGAUGACUUGUGGGUAGCGGUGAAAUUCCAAUCGAGCCCGGAGAUAGCUGGUUCUCCCCGAAAUAGCUUUAGGGCUAGCCUCAAGGUGAGAGAUACGGAGGUAGAGCACUG